AUUGAACGCUGGCGGCAUGCCUUACACAUGCAAGUCGAACGGCAGCACGGGAGCAAUCCUGGUGGCGAGUGGCGAACGGGUGAGUAAUAUAUCGGAACGUGCCCGGUCGUGGGGGAUAACGUAGCGAAAGCUACGCUAAUACCGCAUACGAUCUACGGAUGAAAGCGGGGGAUCGCAAGACCUCGCGCGAUUGGAGCGGCCGAUAUCAGAUUAGGUAGUUGGUGAGGUAAAGGCUCACCAAGCCGACGAUCUGUAGCUGGUCUGAGAGGACGACCAGCACACUGGGACUGAGACACGGCCCAGACUCCUACGGGAGGCAGCAGUGGGAAUUUGGACAAUGGGCGCAAGCCUGAUCCAGCAAUGCCGCGUGCAGGAUGAAGGCC
rnacentral:rRNA from 1 species